AAAUCCAAUCCCCAGAACCCACGCUCCAUCCUCCCUCACGCGACCCCCUCCCCACGCUCUCUCCUUCCUCUUUCAUCCUCGUCUCCCUCACGCGACCCCCCUCCCUCUUCUUCUUUCCCUUCUCCAGUUCCCCCCCACGCAUUUUUCAAGAAAAAAAAAGAAACGCCAGCAACCUCACGCGAUCUCCCCUCGCGUCUCACGCCCACGCUCGCUCUCUCCUCUCCUUCCCCUCUCGACAGAAACCCAGAAAAACAGACCGACUCCUGCAAACGCCAACAACUCCACGCUCUUCUCCUUCCAUCUUCCUCUUCGCGUGAACCAGACGGAAGCGCAGAGACCCAUACGCUGUCAAGUAGGUCGGCGAGGUGUCAAUUUCAUCCUCUCCAACACGCCUGUGCCAUGUGAAGUUUGACCGAAAUGGGAUUCGAAUUUCGAAUUCAAAGGGGAGGGGCUAAUUCCUCUCCUAUAUAAAAACCCAUUUCUCUUCAUCCAAAAAGGGGACAUUCGGGAGAAUUGGAGAGUUUAUCACGAAGAGUACGAAAAUUAUCGAAAUAUUCUGGUUCUUUUCUGUCUGUAGCCGGAAAACAUUGGGGAUUUGAUUUUAAGGUUGGAAUUUUGUUGAAAUUUUAGAGAGAAAAAUCUGGAAGAGUGUUGGGAGUUAGAAAUUUGGUGGGACGAUUGAGCGAAAAAUUGAAGAGAGGGAAAGAGUCGCGCAACUCAGGAGACUGAAGUCACGACCCUGUUCCCUUUGCUCGUCGGGUCGUUUUCAAUACCGCUUUGAGCUCAUUUGGUGGUGGAAGCUUGCUAUAUCGCUCGUGCUUUCGAAAAGGUAAGCUCAACUUAUCCACAUGUUAAUGCAUUAUAGACAUAGAGUAGUUUAAUUCAUUGUUUGAGUUUAACUCUGUUUGUUCUUGUUGAAAGUUUGUCUAAUACGAUUUCUUGUUGUUAGUAUGAUUCAUUGUUUUUUUUUUUGUGAUUCAUUAUCAUGUUGAUUUGAACUAUGGAAUAGUCGAGCUCAAGCACAUUACUCUCUGUUAUUUGGCUUUCUCCCCUUUCCUCUGAAAGUUUCUGCAAAUCUGUAAAGUGAUGUGGCCAUGUUUACGUUAUGUGCUUCUUAUGGAGUCAUUUUACAAUCUGUUUAUAUGUGUUCUUUCGUUGCUUAAAGUGAGCUAUUCCUUAUUUGUUCAUCUAGUCUAAAACUUUCACUU
rnacentral:lncRNA from 1 species